ensembl:lincRNA Gm26629 predicted gene, 26629
GUACUGCAGUUUGCCUUCUCCGGGGUAGAACGAGGGGCUAGGAGCUCUGUAUAAAAAUAAAAUAAAAAGCCCACAGAGGCGACUUCUCCGUGUGCUCCAUCAGUCUAUCAGGAGCCUGGCAAGGCUGUCCUCUGAGAGGCUCUACUAACACCUGACUGAGACAGAUGCAGAUGCUUACAGCCAACUAUUGGAUUGAACCUGAGGAACCUUGUGGAAGAGAUAUUGGAAGGACUGAAAGAGCUAAAAGGGAUUGAAGCUCCAUAGGAAGAACAACAAGAUCAACCAAUAAGACCUCUCAGAGCUCCCAGAUACUAAGCCAUCAAUCAAAGAGCAUACAUGGGCUGGUCCUUGGUACCUCACUACAUAUGUAGCAGAGGAUUGCCUUAUCUGGCCUCAGUGGAAGGGGAGGGACUUUGUCUUAUGGAGACUCGAUGCCCCAGAGAAGCGGGAUGCUAGAGGGGUGAGAUCCAGAGGAAGUGGGAUCAAAGAGUAUCUUCCUGAAUGGUUCUGCCCAACUACCACAAGUGCAGCCCCUCAUUAUUGUGUGAUUCUGGCGGAGGAAAAGAUGUUGCAGAUCUGCUUGCAGCAGGAGAGGGGUAACAAGGUCUCAAGUUGUCCACAGGCACCAAAUGUAUAAGAUGUGAUCUGCCAGUUCCCAACACCAUGUCUUCCACCAUGUCUCUUGCCUGCUGACCCCUGUCCUCGCCAUAGACUCUAAUCUGCUGGAAUGGCUACACUUUGAGAAUCUUCUUCUUCUAUAUCUGAAGAACACUUAUCAUUGUGGAUUAUGGACAUCUUAAUGGUAUUUGAAAUUUUAUCCACUACCGUGGAAAACCAUGUUCGAGUCAUGAACAUUCAAAGGAACACGGAUAAAUGAAGGCAUUGGACAAAGAGGCCCUAAGUGAAAACUUACUGAUCACACUGUGUUCAGAGAAGCAAAGCAAAUCACUACCACAAAAAUCCUCCAAUCCUUUCCAGUCCACAUAGUAAACUGUAACAGGGUGAUGGAUGCAUGUUCUCAUGUCAGCUGAGUGAUCACCACCCUGUAAAGCAUGGAGAGAAAGGAAAACCAUAUAAAGACAAUAAGUCAGACCUGGAGUCGCAGGCAAAAGCGCUGCAGUUGCCAUGGUGAGGCUUCAUCUUCAGGAGCACUACUGAAAGCGUCAUGGAUGGAUUUCUCAUGACCCUUACUUCUCAAGGCAGUCGUGAUCCCCUUUUGUGAGUGUUCCAUAGAAGGUUCUUCAGAAAUUUGGAAAUAGAUCUACCUGAAGACCCAGCUAUAUCUGUCUUGGGAAUAUACACAAAAGAUUCCCCACCAAGCCAAAGGAGCAUGUGUUCAUAGUGGCCUUAUUUGUGACUGCCAAAAGCUUGAAACAACCUAUAUGUCCCAGGACAGAAGAAUGGAUGCAGAAAAUGUGGUUCAUUUACACAAUGGAAUACUACUCAGCUAUUAAGAAUGAGGACAUCCUGAGUUUUGCAGUUCCCUGAACCUUGAAAGGGAGGGUGUGAUAUCCCGUUUGGGGUCCCAGUGCUGCAGAGUCUCCUGCUCUCUGUCCAUUGUCCACUUGUGGGUUGCUGUGGUCAGCAUCUGCUUUGAGAAGAGCCUUUCCUGCUAAGGGUUGUGUGGGGUGCUUAUCUAUGUGUAUAACAGAGGAGUGUUCUAGAGCAAAGAUGUCCAGUUAUAUGUAUGUGGGAGAGCUGAUUCGGAGCACAAUGCCCUGAUGUUAGUGUUAUGCUGGUAACAGAAAGUGAGCAAGGUUUGUUCCCUGUAUUCACGCUGCUUGGAUGAAUUCCUGAAGAUCAAUGCUGAGUCUUGGACCUUUGGUAGCUGUCCUCUAUGAAGGCAUACAGUCCUUGCUUUUCUUGGUUGGGAGUUUUCUGGAGCAAAGAUUUAAUCAUUUGCUGUGCAUGUUUCACAUUCUUAGUUCUGUGAAGGUGUUGGAUUCUACGGUUGCAUCAAUUGGCUUAGUUAGCCAAUCUGCUGACAUAUAAAAACAUAUAACUGUGCCUUACAAGCCAUUUUAUGAACGAAGCAUCCACUGAAACUUCUUUUUUAUAUCUGCCUUUAAAUUUAUUAUCUCUUUUUACGGUUACUUUUGAUACGUUUUGUAAAGUUUGUGAAGAUUUUCACAUAACCGAACCUUCAUAAUAUUUCCUACAGGCUUCCUGUUAUCUGUUUUAUUUAUUUCUGUUCUGAUCUUUAUUUUCUACCUUUUGCCAACUUGGAGUCUUCAUGUUUUAGAAUAAAGCAAUUUUUUUCUGGUUAAUAGACGUGUAAAGU